AUUGAACGCUGGCGGCAUGCUUUACACAUGCAAGUCGAACGGUAACAGGUUAAGCUGACGAGUGGCGAACGGGUGAGUAAUGCAUCGGAACGUGCCCGGUCGUGGGGGAUAACGCAGCGAAAGCUGCGCUAAUACCGCAUACGAUCUAAGGAUGAAAGCGGGGGACCGUAAGGCCUCGCGCGUCCGGAGCGGUCGAUGUCAGACUAGGUAGUUGGUGGGGUAAAGGCUCACCAAGCCAACGAUCUGUAGCUGGUCUGAGAGGACGACCAGCCACACUGGGACUGAGACACGGCCCAGACUCCUACGGGAGGCAGCAGUGGGGAAUUUUGGACAAUGGGCGAAAGCCUGAUCCAGCAAUGCCGCGUGCAGGAAGAAGGCCUUCGGGUUGUAAACUGCUUUUGUACGGAGCGAAAAGGUCUCCUCUAAUACAGGGGGCUCAUGACGGUACCGUAAGAAUAAGCACCGGCUAACUACGUGCCAGCAGCCGCCGUAA
rnacentral:rRNA from 1 species